rnacentral:tRNA from 1 species
CUUCAAAGCCUUAAAUAAGAGUUAAAUUCUCUUAGUUUCUGC